GAAUCAGGAAAUAACAAGAGGAAACAUAGUUAGUUCCUCCUUUAAGGAAACCAGUGAUGCUUGGAAGUCAUUGCUAAUGUCAACACUCAUUGUAGUUCAUCAUUCUCAGUUAAUAUAGAUAGCUGAUGGUUUGUGCUAUUAGAAUAUGUGGCAUUCAUUCAAAAUUUGAUUCACAUAGCCUAGAAAAGUUUCCAAUUCUCUCAUUCAAG
rnacentral:misc_RNA from 1 species